GGGGAUUUAGCUCAGUGGGAUAAGCGCGUGCUUGGCAAGCAUGAGGUUGUGAGUUCAAUCCCUG
rnacentral:tRNA from 1 species